rnacentral:rRNA from 1 species
CAGCCGCCGCGGGAAAACGUAGGUGGCAAGCGUUGUCCGGAAUUAUUGGGCGUAAAGGGCUCGCAGGCGGUUUCUUAAGUCUGAUGUGAAAGCCCCCGGCUCAACCGGGGAGGGUCAUUGGAAACUGGGAAACUUGAGUGCAGAAGAGGAGAGUGGAAUUCCACGUGUAGCGGUGAAAUGCGUAGAGAUGUGGAGGAACACCAGUGGCGAAGGCGACUCUCUGGUCUGUAACUGACGCUGAGGAGCGAAAGCGUGGGGAGCGAACAGGAUUAGAUACCCGUGUAGUCCCUGUCUCUUAUAC